GCAUAUCAAUAAGCGGAGGAAAAGAAACCAACAGGGAUUGCCUCAGUAACGGCGAAGUGAAGCGGCAACAGCUCAAAUUUGAAAUCUGGCGCAAGCCCGAGUUGUAAUUUGCAGAGGAUGUUUCGGGUGAAGCCACGGUCCAAGUCCCUUGGAACAGGACGUCAUAGAGGGUGAGAACCCCGUACCUGGCCGUCGGUGCCCCCCGCUGUGAAACUCCUUCGACGAGUCGAGUUGUUUGGGAAUGCAGCUCUAAAUUGGUGGUAAAUUCCAUCUAAAGCUAAAUACCGGCCAGAGACCGAUAGCGCACAAGUAGAGUGAUCGAAAGAUGAAAAGCACUUUGAAAAGAGAGUUAAAAAGUACGUGAAAUUGUUGAAAGGGAAGCGCUUGCGGCCAGACUUGCCCGCGGUUGCUCAGCCCGCCUUUUGGCGGGUGCACUCUUCCGCGGUCAGGCCAGCAUCGGUUUGGGCGGCCGGAUAAAGGCGCCGGGAACGUGGCCUCCCCUCGGGGAGGUGUUAUAGCCCGGCGUGCAAUGCGGCCAGCCCGGACCGAGGUUCGCGCUCUGCUAGGAUGCUGGCGUAAUGGCCGUAAGCGGCCCGUCUUGAAACACGGACCAAGGAGUCUAACAUCUAUGCGAGUGUUUGGGUGUCAAACCCGUGCGCGUAAUGAAAGUGAACGGAGGUGGGAACCGCAAGGUGCACCAUCGACCGAUCCUGAUGUCUUCGGAAGGAUUUGAGUAAGAGCAUAGCUGUUGGGACCCGAAAGAUGGUGAACUAUGCGUGAAUAGGGUGAAGCCAGAGGAAACUCUGGUGGAGGCUCGCAGCGGUUUCUGACGUGCAAAUCGAUUCGUCAAAUUUGCGUAUAAGGGGCGAAAGACUAAUCGAAACCAUUUUAGUAGCUGGUUCCUGCCGAA
rnacentral:rRNA from 1 species